rnacentral:rRNA from 1 species
UGGGGAAUCUUGCGCAAUGCGCGAAAGCGUGACGCAGCAACGCCGCGUGAGGGAAGAAGGCUUUCGGGUUGUAAACCUCUUUCAGGAGGGACGAAGGCUCACCGGUGAAUAGCCGAGUGGGUUGACGGUACCUCCAGAAGAAGCCCCGGCUAACUACGUGCCAGCAGCCGCGGUAAUACGUAGGGGGCAAGCGUUGUCCGGAAUCAUUGGGCGUAAAGCGCGCGUAGGCGGUCCGGUAAGUCCGCUGUGAAAGUCAAAGGCUCAACCUUUGAAUGCCGGUGGAUACUGUCGGACUCGAGUCCGGAAGAGGCGAGUGGAAUUCCUGGUGUAGCGGUGGAAUGCGCAGAUAUCAGGAGGAACACCAAUAGCGAAGGCAGCUCGCUGGGACGGUACUGACGCUAAGGCGCGAAAGCGUGGGGAGCGAACAGG